rnacentral:rRNA from 1 species
GGGAUCUUCCACAAUGGACGAAAGUCUGAUGGAGCAACGCCGCGUGAGUGAAGAAGGUUUUCGGAUCGUAAAGCUCUGUUGUAAGAGAAGAACGUGUGUGAGAGUGGAAAGUUCACACAGUGACGGUAACUUACCAGAAAGGGACGGCUAACUACGUGCCAG